GGGCCUGUAGCUUAGAUUGGUUGGAGCACCCGGCUGAUAACCGGGAGGUCGAGAGUUCAAAUCUCUCCAGGCCCA
rnacentral:tRNA from 2 species